ensembl:processed_transcript
UGUAACUGUAGCGGCAUGUGAUUUCAGCCCGUAAUGUCCGCGCGCUGGACGGAGCACAAUGCGCUGAAUAUGGUGCCACUCGGAAACACGGAGCUGUACGCACAAUCUGCUUUGCAAUUACUUUUUAAUCUGUUAAUACGGAGUGAAACCGCAGCUGUCUCGCUCAGGGUUGUUUUGCUGAGGUGACUACAGAGCCAUGA